rnacentral:rRNA from 1 species
UACGUAGGAUGCAAGCGUUGUCCGGAUUUACUGGGCGUAAAGGGCGCGCAGGCGGCUUCUUAAGUCUUACGUGAAAGCCCCCGGCUAAACCGGGGAGGGUCGUAGGAGACUGGGAGGCUGGAGUGCAGCAGAGGAUAGUGGAAUUCCCGGUGUAGUGGUGAAAUGCGUAGAGAUCGGGAGGAACACCAGUGGCGAAAGCGGCUAUCUGGGCUGCAACUGACGCUGAGGCGCGAAGGCCAGGGGAGCAAAC